rnacentral:rRNA from 1 species
GACGAACGCUGGCGGCGUGCCUAAUACAUGCAAGUAGAACGCUGAAGAGAGGAGCUUGCUCUUCUUGGACGAGUUGCGAGCGGGUGAGUAACGCGUAGGUAACCUGCCUGGUAGCGGGGGAUAACUAUUGGAAACGAUAGCUAAUACCGCAUGACAUUGAUUAUCGCAUGAUAAUUGAUUGAAAGAUGCAAUUGCAUCACUACCAGAUGGACCUGCGUUGUAUUAGCUAGUUGGUGAGGUAACGGCUCACCAAGGCGACGAUACAUAGCCGACCUGAGAGGGUGAUCGGCCACACUGGGACUGAGACACGGCCCAGACUCCUACGGGAGGCAGCAGUAGGGAAUCUUCGGCAAUGGGGGGAACCCUGACCGAGCAACGCCGCGUGAGUGAAGAAGGUUUUCGGAUCGUAAAGCUCUGUUGUAAGAGAAGAACGGGUGUGAGAGUGGAAAGUUCACACUGUGACG